rnacentral:rRNA from 1 species
UACGGGGGGGGCAAGCGUUGUUCGGAAUUACUGGGCGUAAAGGGCUCGUAGGCGGCCAACUAAGUCAGACGUGAAAUCCCCAGGCUCAACCUGGGAACUGCGUCUGAUACUGGAUGGCUUGAAUCCGGGAGAGGGAUGCAGAAUUCCAGGUGUAGCGGUGAAAUGCGUAGAUAUCAAGAGGAACACCUGAGGUGAAGACGGGUUGCUGGGCUGACACUGACGCUGAGGCGCGAAAGCCAGGGGAGCGAACGGG